AGACAGCCUACUUUGGGGAGGUAAGGGCCCUGGCACAGUGGUGCCAGGAAAAUAACCUCUCCCUCAACAUUAACAAAAUGAAGGCGCUGAUCGUGGACUUCAGGAGAAAGCAGAGGGAGCACACCCCCAUCCACAUUGACGAGACCGCAGUGGAGAAUGUUAAAAGCUUCAAGGUCCUCGGCGUACACAUCACUGACAAUCUGAAACUGUCCACCCACACAGACCGUGUGGUGAAGAUGGCACAACAGCACCUCUUCAACUUCAGAUAUUUGGCUUGGCCCCUAAGACCCUCAUUCUUAUAAUCAUUCCACCUAAUCACCGAAACAAAGACCUGGGAGCAAGCUCUGGACUACUGCAAUAAGAACUACCAUGGACUGCUAAGGUUGGAGUCUGACCACAAGAUUGUUGAGCAGAAACUGAGUUGUAGUGUGAAACCUGUACCUGGUCCUGUGUGGAUGGGUCUAAGGCAGAGCCGUCUCUUUGGGUUUUGGCUCUGGACCAAUGGGAUGCCAGUGCAGUGGAGUAACUGGGAGGGGUACAGACAGCCUUAACAGCCUCUGUCCAACCACUGUGGCGCCAUGGCAAUGAAGAAGGGAGAUUUUAAGUGGAGUGAUCAGGACUGUAUGUCCCCUCGCUACUUUAUCUGUGAGGGGUAGUAGAAACCUCCUUGAGUGUGCACUGCGCAUUCAAUUUAAUAUGUUGUUUUCAUUAGAGGUAUGGGUGUACGUGAAAAGUUUAUUUCCAAAACACUACUGUGUAUCCACCAAUUUGUGUUUUUCAUCAAGAAUUAUUGCUUAUGGUUACCUUCAUGUGUGUGUAAAAUAUUACUGUUCUCAGAUUUUUUAUAUUCAUAGAUUUUUUAUGUGUUUGAAAAAAUGUGUUCUUUUGCAAAACGCUAUAUAUCCAUUGUUUAGCAGGAAUGGAAUGUUUAGGUAAUCUAACCAGUUGAAAGUAUCCGUUGGAACUUAAAGAAUAUGAUGUCAGAUCAGUUGUCGUCUGAGACAUUAUUACUGACGAUAGGACGACAUAAACUGUAUCUCGGAAAGCCUACACAUUCUAGUUAUCAGAUUCACAUGGAAUUGUUGUGCAAUUUAAAUGUUUAAAUAUGAAACUAUUUGUGAAAAGAUUAAAUGUAAUUUUGGCUUCUAAAUGAGAGAAUUGUUUUCAUAAGUGAACUAUGCUCACUCAGUGGCCCAGCCCAAGUGAACAGGCAUUGGUUGUGAAAUAUGAAACACGCCCUUCUCUCUCCCACUACAAAAGCCCAUUGACGAAAGUCAACAUCUUGUGUUCCCGAUGACAUGAGGACUGCUGUCCAUCCGUUUAAAAGGGCUAAUAUCAACUACAGAACUAAGCCAACCUCAGCGUGAGCUCUGGUUGCGAAUGGUUGAACGACUACAACCUAACGAAAUUAAAAUUGUGUUCCCGAUGACUUGAGGACUGAUGUCCAUACGUUUACAAGGGCGAAUUCCAACGUGGAGGUGACGAUCGCCACGCCGGAAGGAUGAAUGUGACUAUACCAGCCAGAAUACAGCAUGAGAUUAUAGUGUGGCAACUUAGUAUGAACUUUGAACUCUUAUUCACUAAAGAAGUGAUACAUCCUAGAUGUCAAGUUAUCAGCAGCAGCUGUAAACGUGGGCUAGGAAAGGACGGACAAUCUCUUCAAAACGACAGGGUACUACAACGUAUCCGUUCUACCACACGACGACGGUACUACAACAUAUGCGUUCUACCACAAGACAUAUUCUUCAAAGGACAAGGGAGAUCUCUGCUGGGCAAACCAGCCUUCCAUCUUCAACCAAUCUAUCGAAGCGCAGCUCAGAGUAAAUAUUUCUUGAGUUUUCCUUUUCCAAAUGGGCGGUUAUUUAGAAUGCAUAAGAUUCUGUAUUUACGAUAGCAUAGCUUCAUAAGGUCCGAUAGAGACCCAAUCCUUUUGUUCCUCAUUCUUCCCACGCUUUCAUUCAAACCCAACCCCCUUUCUUUGUGUAACCAGCCGUCAUAUCGGUUCCGCCCGCUAGGGACGUUUUCUUGUAUGACAUAAUUAGUAAUCAAUGUAUGAUCCAUCC
rnacentral:lncRNA from 1 species